rnacentral:lncRNA from 10 species
CCGCCCGCCCGCCCGCGCACCUCCAACCCACCUGCCGCCGGCCAGACAGGAAUGGACUGUGUGACUGAAUGAAAUGGCGGGGCCAUAAGCCAUCCAAGGAGCCGCCUCCGUGAAGUUAUAGGCUCGCGGGGUACAAGGAGAAAAAAACAAUCCAGCUCCAACGGUACUGAUGUGACAGGAGGUUGUCACAGCAGAGCGGAAGAUCUGGCAGAAAGACGCUGGGAAAGAAGACACUAGGGGAAAACAUCAGAAAGUUCGGAUGAUGAAAACUCACCUCACGCCACAACAAUGUAGGAUAAAGCCGGCGGUCACCCCACCCCAGAGUGGGACAAAGUCGCACCACCCCUUGACAAUGGGGCAUCAAGAUCUUAUCGCCACGGGGGUUGCAUCCUGACAGUGUCUGGCUCUGUUAUUCAGGCUGGAGUGCAGUGGUACAAUCUUGGCUCACUAAAACCUCUGCUUCCUAGGCUCAAGCGAUCCUACCACCUCAGCCUCCCAAGUAGCUGGAACCACAGGCAUUCGCCAC